ACCCCUACGGGAGGCAGCAGUGGGGAAUAUUGCACAAUGGGGGAAACCCUGAUGCAGCCAUGCCGCGUGUGUGAAGAAGGCUCUAGGGUCGUAAAGCACUUUCAGUAGGGAGGAAAGGGAUGUGGUUAAUACCUGCAUUCUGUGACGUUACCUACAGAAGAAGCACCGGCUAACUCCGUGCCAGCAGCCGCGGUAA
rnacentral:rRNA from 1 species